CUGUUUCAAGUCAAAGCCUUCAUGUUUCCACCUGUCGUUUCAAUCAAACACAUAAUUUUCAAUUCCAAACGCCUAAAGUUUCAACUGCAGUGGCACUCAAGAAAGAAAAAAUUCACAAAGCAGAAGAAGUUUAACGGGGAAGAUGAUCUGAAGGGGUUUAGUACAAGUACUUCAAAAUAAGGAAACGAGUACUUUCAAGAUCUUUAGAAACACAGAAAAGAUUGUCUGGACGGGUAACUAAGAUGGAAAAUUCAUAGAACUUGUUUUUAAUAGGAAGAAGAUAGAAGCAAGGAAGAAUUGACGUAGACAACUUGAGCUUGAUACCGAUCUAAACCAGAAAGAAAGUACAUUUCAUACACUGAAUUUGUUAACCAAGAGUUUAUUCUUUUUCAAUGGCUGACAUUCAAAGGUUAAUUUUAUAAGUGCUUGACGGAAGAUUAUGUUUUGUGCCUUUAAAAGGAACUUUGUUAAUUUGUACCAACAUAAAAAAUGGCCUUUUUCAAAUGGUACUAACACAUUUGUUUGAGAAUCAGAAUAUGGCCAAUCAUUCAAGAUUGUAUUUUCUUAUGAAUGCUUUCCUCACUAGCUAUUUUUUUAUGGAUACAUAUGUUCUCUUAUAACUUGAAUGCUUGAAAAUCCAGAGGAUUUAAUAAUAGCAUUUGCAUAUUCCUUUGUGUCUACC